GAUGAACGCUAGCGGCAGGCUUAAUACAUGCAAGUCGUGGGGCAGCAGGGGUAGCAAUACCCGCUGGCGACCGGCAAACGGGUGCGGAACACGUACGCAACCUUCCUUUAACUGGAGAAUAGCCCCUCGAAAGAGGGAUUAAUACUCCGUAACAUAUUGAUAAGGCAUCUUAUUAAUAUUAUAGCUCCGGCGGUUAAAGAUGGGCGUGCGACUGAUUAGAUAGUUGGCGGGGUAACGGCCCACCAAGUCUGCGAUCAGUAACUGGUGUGAGAGCACGACCAGUCACACGGGCACUGAGACACGGGCCCGACUCCGUACGGGAGGCAGCAGU
rnacentral:rRNA from 1 species